rnacentral:misc_RNA from 1 species
GAUGAAGAACGCAGCGAAAUGCGAUAAGUAAUGUGAAUUGCAGAAUUCAGUGAAUCAUCGAAUCUUUGAACGCACCUUGCACCCUUUGGUAUUCCGAAGGGUAUGCUCGUUUGAGUGUCAUUGUACUCUCACACUUCUAAUUCCUUUCGGGAUUGGGAGCGGUGGACUGGGGUGUUGCUGCUUUAGUUGUGGCUCACCUCAAAUAAGUUAGUGCAACUCUUGGUUGGACAUAGUACGGCGUGAUAAGUGUCUUCGCCGGCGCCUCUGUAAGGAGGGUGGCCGAUCGGGAGCUCUGUGCUUCAAACCGUCUUCGGACAAUCUUUGACAACUUGACCUCAAAUCGAGUAGGACUACCCGCUGAACUUAAGCAUAUCAAUAAGCGGAGGA